GAUGAACGCUGGCGGCGUGCCUAAUACAUGCAAGUCGAGCGAACGGACGAGAAGCUUGCUUCUCUGAUGUUAGCGGCGGACGGGUGAGUAACACGUGGAUAACCUACCUAUAAGACUGGGAUAACUUCGGGAAACCGUAGCUAAUACCGGAUAAUAUUUUGAACCGCAUGGUUCAAAAGUGAAAGACGGUCUUGCUGUCACUUAUAGAUGGAUCCGCGCUGCAUUAGCUAGUUGGUAAGGUAACGGCUUACCAAGGCAACGAUGCAUAGCCGACCUGAGAGGGUGAUCGGCCACCCUGGAACUGAGACACGGUCCAGACUCCUGCGGGAGGCCGCAGUAGGGAAUCUUACGCGAUGGGCGAAAGCCUGACGGAGCAACGCCGCGUGAGUGAUGAAGGUCUUCGGAUCGUAAAACUCUGUUAUUAGGGAAGAACAUAUGUGUAAGUAACUGUGCACAUCUUGACGGUACCUAAUCAGAAAGCCACGGCUAACUACGUG
rnacentral:rRNA from 1 species